CCCUUAGAUGUUCUGGGCUGCACGCGCGCUACACUGACACACUCAGCGAGUUCCUGUACCGAGAGGUUCGGGUAAUCAUGUGAGCGUGUGUCGUGAUGGGGAUAGAAUAUUGUAAUUAUUGCUCUUCAACGAGGAAUUCCUAGUAAGCGCAAGUCAGCAGCUUGCGCUGAUUACGUCCCUGCCCUUUGUACACACCGCCCGUCGCUCCUACCGAUUGGGUGAUCCGGUGAAUGACUCGGACUUUGACGUUCCUAGACACUAGGUUCGUCGAGGGAAGUUUUGUGAACCUUAUCACUUGGAGGAAGGAGAAGUCGUANCA
rnacentral:rRNA from 1 species